UUUCAAAGAAAUUUUGCCAUGAGGAGGAAUAGAAAACUCGAAUGAGAAUUAAAUUUAUUUUGCUAUCUGGCAAAGGCUGUUUUCUAAUAUUUCAGAGCCAUAUUUGGAUGUUGAUGAGAAGAAUCCAAUACAGUGAAAGGAUUAAACAAGGAAAUUGCAGAAGUGAAGAAUUUGAGAUGGUGAAAGAGAAAGAGAUCCAGAGACUGAGUAGGCAAGAGGGGCUGGUCUUCCAGAGAAGCAAAGGCACUUGAUCUGCAGCAAUGGGAGGGCUGAAAAGAAAGUAGGGAGUGCUGCUCUUGGUAGUUUCUGUGGGAAGUUGACAGAGGUCUUUCCUCUUUGCUGUGGCUGGAUUUAAUAUAUUGAAGGGCUCCAGUUUAAGUAGAUAUCAUCACUUGUAAUCUGCUACUAAAGUCACAAAAGACUUCUGUGUUGAAUGUGCAUUUAACUGAUUCAGAUGAAUGCUGAAAUCCAUAAUUAAAAUUAAAUUCAUCCUGGAGAUAAUUUUACUAGGAUGUCCUCACAAAUAUGAAUGAUUUAUUGUAAAAUUAAUAAAAUUAAAAGGGAAAAAGAGUCCUUUGUGAAGAAUGGUCCAUGAUUCUUGAUGUCUGUGACCCCAUCAUUCAAUAUGCAGAACAAUCUGGACAGUCAGGAAUAGUACCAAUCCUCAAAUUGGGCCAUAAAGAACCUUCUAUGGACUAUUUCAACCUUGCCAAAUGUCUACACCUUCUAUCUGCAUAAAAAAUAUAUCCACAAACCAGAGUAGAUUAUUUUAUGUCCUGUGUUCUAUGGUACAAUGUCUGGGAUACUUGAUGGAUCCAUACUGGAUGGAUGGGCAGAACUUCCACUGAGAGGGCUUGGGGGCUGCCAUACCAG
rnacentral:lncRNA from 1 species